rnacentral:rRNA from 1 species
AUUGAACGCUGGCGGCAUGUCUUACACAUGCAGGUCGAACGGCAGCACGGACUUCGGUCUGGUGGCGAGUGGCGAACGGGUGAGUAAUGUAUCGGAACGUACCUUUCAGUGGGGGAUAACGUAGCGAAAGUUACGCUAAUACCGCAUAUUCUGUGAGCAGGAAAGCGGGGGAUCGCAAGACCUUGCGCUGAUUGAGCGGCCGAUAUCAGAUUAGCUAGUUGGUGAGGUAAAGGCUCACCAAGGCGACGAUCUGUAGCGGGUAUGAGAGGAUGGUCCGCCACACUGGAACUGAGACACGGUCCAGACUCCUACGGGAGGCAGCAGUGGGGAAUUUUGGACAAUGGGGGCAACCCUGAUCCAGCCAUGCCGCGUGAGUGAAGAAGGCCUUCGGGUUGUAAAGCUCUUUCGGCCGGGAAGAAAUCGCAUGGGUUAAUACCCUGUGUGGAUGACGGUACCGGAAUAAGAAGCACCGGCUAACUACGUGCCAGCAGCCGCGGUAAUAC